rnacentral:rRNA from 1 species
GACGAACGCUGGCGGCGUGCCUAAUACAUGCAAGUAGAACGCAGUUGCGAACGGGUGAGUAACGCGUAGGUAACCUGCCUGGUAGCGGGGGAUAACUAUUGGAAACGAUAGCUAAUACCGCAUACUGAAGGAGGGGAUUGCGUCUGAUUAGCUAGUUGGAGGGGUAACGGCCCACCAAGGCGAUGAUCAGUAUCCGGUCUGAGAGGAUGAACGGCCACAUUGGGACUGAGACACGGUCCAAACUCCUACGGGAGGCAGCAGUGAGGAAUAUUGGUCAAUGGGCGGUAGCCUGAACCAGCCAAGUAGCGUGAAGGAUGAAGGUCUAUGGGUCGUAAACUUCUUUUAUAUAAGAAUAUGUAUUAUAUGAAUAAGGAUCGGCUAACUCCGUGCCAGCAGCCGCGGUAAUUC